rnacentral:lncRNA from 1 species
AAUUUUCCUAAGGUCUAGGAAUACCUUUUUAAAAACUGGUUUCCUACCAGACACAAGGAAAUCAUAAGACAAAUUUAAUUUGCCUUAAUUUUCAUAAAUGUCACCUAGGGAUGACACAAUGUCACAUGGGCUAUGUAGGUUAUCAUAGCAUUGCUCUGAUACAAUUUUGUCUGUAUGGCAGGUGAGCUACCCAGGUCCUGGUCCCUUGAGAAACUAGAUUUAAUCAAUAUGACUAAAGACUGAAAUUUAGGAGUGCUAAGAUUAUUUCAUAGCCUCAACACUGAAAUUGUCUUACUGAUUUUUCUGUAACCCCUAUUCUAUAAGGAGACCAGAAAUGGAGAGAAAAAAGCUCAGUGAAACAUUGGGGUGUAAUGUUGGUAAUGGCUUCAUUAUCCACUUCAUAUACCCCUGCAUCACAUACACGCGCGUGCGCAUACACACACACUGUAAGCUCAAAUAUCAAACUCCUGCAACACAUCAAAAAGCCUUGUGUGGAGGCAUUAAAUGCUUAAGAGGAGAAAAAAAUAGAAAUGUGAUGCUUAACAACCUCUCCUGCAGCAUUUUACCUUGCACAGUUUCCACUACCUGCAACCUCUGCAGAAAUACCAAAAUAACACACUCUGCUAGCAAGCCAGUGCUCUGAUCUAAGAACAGCUUCCUCAGGAACUUCUCUAGAGAAGACAAACUUGUGGUUUUGCAGACUGUGAUUCAGUGGGAUGCUUUUAGAAAAACUGCAGUGAAAACAACAGAAAGAUGAAAAAAGGGGACAGUGAAACCACUCUUUGCUCAACAAUAAAAUGUGUGUUGUUUGGUUUUGGUGUUAGUUUUUCUUUGAAUUUCUUGGAGACACAAACAAUAUGACACAAAAAAAAAAGACUAAGGGAUAUUCACACUCAACUAGGUAAUUUGAGCAUCUGACAUUUUCAAUGAGACCUGUAUUAUUUUUGCGUGGAUAUCAUGAAAGGAUUGUGCCAUGUGAGAAAUGUGUUCAUGGUGACUAGUGAAAGAAAAUACAGCAAACUGAAAUUUUUACCAACUUCCUUUAGUUUGUCAUAUAUCAUCAGACCCAAACUCUCAAUUUUCAUUUCUCAAAUUUGUUUACAUCUGUUGAAAAGAAC